AUAUACCUUGUUGUUUUGAGUAGCGAUUCUGCAUAAAGUUGAAGGUAAAAUCCCACUCCCUAAACUACUGGAUUCGCAUUAUCUAUAAUACUAUAUUAAGAGAACUGGGUUUUCUACCCUUUUCGUAAUUUUGCCAUGUGUACAAGUUUUAAAGCUACAUAUAUAAAUAAAAUAAGCCAUUUUAGAAAGGACAAACUUGAAUAUUAUCCAAAGUUUUAAGACACUUUAAGGGCAAUUUGGACAUUUAAAUCCACAACCUCUUGUCUCUUCCAUUAAUUAAACCAGAAUUCAAUUUCCUCUCUUCCAUAUUGAAAACCAUUGGGUGUCAGCCCAAUGGCCACCAACCCGCAUUCUAACCCGGAGGUGGCGGGUUCGAGUCUUGCUCGUUCCCAAUGCCCCUACGGUAGCGGAUGGAAUAUCCCUCCCCCCCUCUUCCAUAUUGAAGAACCUGAUUGAAUGCACCGAUUCACUUUCUGCUUAGCAUCUUAAUUAUCACUUGCAAUUAAAUGUCUUAAUAGUCAGAAUUAAUCUAUUUAUAUUCUUCCACUAGCCGUUUUGUUUGUAACUGAUAAAUGCCAUCAAUCUCCUUCGACAAGAUUAAAGAACCAAAGAAACCCAACACGAAAUCAUGUGUGGUGGAGCGGAAGUAUAUGCGAUAGCUGUACACUUGGGUUCGCACACAUGUAAAGCUGGUCAUGCUGGUGAAGAUGCUCCUAAAGUUUUCUUUCAAAAAUCUAUUUUGCAGGUGUUUUUGGAAAUUGAUUUGCAAGCUCGGAUUGCGGGUUCACGUUGAUGAUUUGCAGGUUUACUAAAUGUUAAUCUUUUGUUCCCAUUUCGCGUUAAUCAAGUAGCAUUUCUAGGUUUCGUCUUCAGGUUUUAGCUAUUGAUUUCGUUUUUUGGUUAUGGUUUUUCUUUAAGUUUAGAUAUGUAUGUAAAUUCUUUUGGAUAUUGGUUGUUGUAUGUAGAUGUAUAAAAUUUGUUAUCAUUAUUACUUUAUUUACAAUUAAAAGGUUUUAAGGCGGACAACAAGUGCUUGAUGAAAUGCUUCAACAAAACUGACUUUUAUUUCACAUGUUUUUAUAGGGUUCUAAGUGUUUCAUGCUCUUUGUUUAUGUUUUAUGUUUGUAUAAUCUCUUAGCUACGUAAAAAUAUCAAAACAGAGACUUUUUGUUUAUAAAUCUUUUUGGAGAUGGUAUGCUACUUUUUGUUUAUAAUUAUAACUGGGUUUGAACUUUUUUGCAUCUUGAUCAGUAUUCUCUAUUUGGUGGUUUCAGGAAGCUCACAUCCAUAGUCUGAAUUCUCCACUCAUAAGGUUGGCUUUUUAUUUAUUGCUUUUUUAUUCAAUUAUAUGCAACUCACCAAAUGGAUUUUUUGAUUCACUGAGAUAUAUUUUCUUGGUGCCUGUAUUUUUUUCCUUUGAUUUUGUUGUUACAACAUGUAUGAAAAGAUUUCAUUUUUCCAUUGUAAGUAUAUAUAUGAACACUAAAUCAUCAUUUAAAUAUCUACUCUGUUGUUACAUGUUUUAAUAUCUUUAGACGAAAGAGCUUAACGCUGGACCUGAAGGUGAACUUCUCUAACGAUAUCUCUUAUUUUUCUUCGCAACAAAAUUUACUUUUCGGUUACAUGUUAUAUAAUGAUCCUUUUAGAUUAUGCGUUUUAAAUAGAACUUCCAACUACAACAUCAAAAUCCACAAAUCCGCCUGGCACGUCCGCUCCACCGGCACCAGGCGCAUCGCUCAUUUACUCUACAAGAUGCACUCGUUAGUAAUCUCGGACAUCUUCAUCGUGGUACUGUAGCUUAUUUUUCAUUUUAUGUUUUUUUGGGUUGCUAUUCCGAGUGCCAGUGUCAGUACCAUACAUAUUACGUGACAAUCCGACCGAAUCCCACUGCAACGCGUGGGGUACUUGUCUUGGACCCAUCACAAGUCACAACUAUAUAUUACAAAAGACACUUGUGUUUAAGAUUCAGGUGUAACUUGUAACUGCUCUUCUUGGAGAAAGAGUUGCUGAUUAUGAAUAUAGCCAGUGGCCCAGUGUAUUUGUUGCGUAUAGAGACAUGGAAUGUAGGUGUAUACAAGAAUGAAGUGGUAAAUUUAGGAUGUAAGAUACAGAGCCCAUCUUGGUUAUAACUGUAUAUGGACCAUAAUAUUUAGUAGCUAGCUUUUGACUUAUCCUAUGUUCAAAUGUCCAACAGGUAUUUGCCUCUAAUAGUUACAAUUUUAAAUAUGCCUAACCAACCACUAGAAAAGUAUAUGCUUAUCAGAUGGUUGUAUCAUUCUAUUUUGUGCCUUUUUCAAAUGAAAUUUAACAGCCUUAAGGCAGAUUCUCUAGCAUAUUAACUUGUGCUCAUCAGGUUGUUUACUUUACCUUGACCAGUGAAACAUACGAAAGUUGCUAAGGGUGUUCAAUAACAAGUUUAUGGGGCAAAUGAGCUUGAGCUCGUUUACUUAUGAGAUCUCGAGCUCGGCUCGUUUCGAGCUCUGUUUUUAAAAGCACGAGCUCCAUCCGUAAACGAUUUUUCAAGCACAGCUCGGGCUCGGUUCGUUUAUUAUUUAUUACUGUAAUUAAUAAGCAUACUUGUAUAGUGUAUCUUUAAGUCUUUCAGGCAUGACUUAUUAUGGUUGUUGUAAUCUUAUUACAAACCCUGUACCUUUUAUGCAAUUUCUGGGUAUCCAUUGAGUGCAACACAAGAUUCUAUUAACAUGAUUCCACGUAUAUUUGUAAUGGUGAAUUGGUGAUAUUAGAUUAGUGGAUGACAUUUCAUCGUUAUAUUGCUUUUAUUUUGUCUUCUUUGAGGUGACUUAUUUAUCUUAUUAAGAUGUUUAAACAUAAAUGGGAUUAAUUAGCGUUGCACUUUCGCUAAACAUUUCUUUGAAUGCUUGCUUAGGCCUGGUCAUUUGGAAGGCAAGUGGAAAUCAACCUUCCUAAUGAGAAUGGUCAUUUCCAAAUCCUUCAGAUUAUACGAAUAAGAUGAAAGAGAAUUCCUUUCUAACUCGGGAUGUGAACUUGCAAGAACUUGGUAUGGUUUUCGCUAAAGUUUUUUUUAUUCUUACACAAAAAAUAAAAAUAGUAGGGUUUGAUUAAAUCAUAUGUAAGAGCUAUACUAAUUAUGAAUUAUCAAAAUUUCAAGUAUAAAUUUCAAAAUUCUGUAAAGAGUUGACCCGAUCUUCGGUGUAGGUGAAUAUGAUAAUGACACGAGUGUUGUCAAUUGCGAAAACAGUAUGGUGUUACCAUGAGACGCCAAAAUAGACGCACCCGCUGCAACGCGCGGGCAUUCCUACUAGUGAUAUUAAACGAAAAUUGGUGGCAGGGCACCCCUCAAAAAAAAAAAAAAAAAAAAAAAAAAAAUCAGUUGUGUUAAUUUUAAAUCUUGCAAUGGUAACUGUUUUAAAUAAAUAAAACGAUUAGGCCCCUCACAUAUUCUUGAAUAUGCCCCCUUGUAAAAGUCAGUCAUAUUUCACCAAUGUAAAAAAAAAGCUUUCUAGAUCAACCCAAAUACCCCGAAUGCAAUUGCCUGUGUUCAGUUUCCAGUGACGAAUCAACUCAAAAUUCAUGAUCAAUGCAGGUCUCAAAAUCGCUGGUUUGUUCGAGUUUCUUGAAAGCAGUUGACGAGACGCCUUGGAGCGAUUCUAAAAAUCUCCAAUCGCAGGCUUCAAAUAUUUUUUUAGUUUUGAAUUUUUUUAUGUUCCAUGAUUGUAAUAAAACUUCUAUCAUGCCUUCCAACAAUCAAAGGUUUGAACUUUGAAUUUUAUAUAUAAUUAAGCUUUAUAUUUGUUAAUC